UGCAGUUCCCGGGUUUCUCAGC
rnacentral:piRNA from 1 species